AUUGAACGCUGGCGGCAGGCCUAACACAUGCAAGUCGAGCGGCAGCGGGAAAGUAGCUUGCUACUUUUGCCGGCGAGCGGCGGACGGGUGAGUAAUGCCUGGGGAUCUGCCCAGUCGAGGGGGAUAACUACUGGAAACGGUAGCUAAUACCGCAUACGCCCUACGGGGGAAAGCAGGGGACCUUCGGGCCUUGCGCGAUUGGAUGAACCCGGGUGGGAUUAGCUAGUUGGUGAGGUAAUGGCUCACCAAGGCGACGAUCCUUAGCUGGUCUGAGAGGAUGAUCAGCCACACUGGAACUGAGACACGGUCCAGACUCCUACGGGAGGCAGCAGUGGGGAAUAUUGCACAAUGGGGGAAACCCUGAUGCAGCCAUGCCGCGUGUGUGAAGAAGGCCUUCGGGUUGUAAAGCACUUUCAGCGAGGAGGAAAGGUUGGUAGCUAAUAACUGCCAGCUGUGACGUUACUCGCAGAAGAAGCACCGGCUAACUCCGUGCCAGCCGCCGCCGUAA
rnacentral:rRNA from 1 species